rnacentral:lncRNA from 1 species
AGACGAUUGAUAAUAAAAAAAAAAAAAAAAUAAAGGGGAAGUUGACAAUUUUUAGUUUUCCAAAUUGAAAUAAGUUUUAAUUUAUCAGUGGGGUUAAGGUGCGAUCUUCAUUGGAAUAGCCAUAUUUUUGUACUGUUAAUUUAUUAAGAAUAUAUCUUGGUUAGCCAAAAAGAAGGGUGCGAGUUCUAGUUCUAAUGCCACGAACAGUUGGCACAACAUGGUGUCAACGCAAUUGGUUGGAACAGAUGUUACUGCUUCCAGAGAGACUGAUGUCUUCCUCUGCGCCAUUGAUCAAGGAUGAAACUUAACCCAAUGACGAUGUUAUUAACAGCCUCUUAAGAAGGACGAACCAACCAGCUAGAUGCGUCAACUACUACGUAAUGAAGAUGAUGAUGACUGACACUUGUACAAAGAUUUGCGCCC